rnacentral:rRNA from 1 species
GACGAACGCUGGCGGCGUGCUUAACACAUGCAAGUCGAACGGAAAGGCCCUGCUUUUGUGGGGUGCUCGAGUGGCGAACGGGUGAGUAACACGUGAGUAACCUGCCCUUGACUUUGGGAUAACUUCAGGAAACUGGGGCUAAUACCGGAUAGGAGCUCCUGCUGCAUGGUGGGGGUUGGAAAGUUUCGGCGGUUGGGGAUGGACUCGCGGCUUAUCAGCUUGUUGGUGGGGUAGUGGCUUACCAAGGCUUUGACGGGUAGCCGGCCUGAGAGGGUGACCGGCCACAUUGGGAGUGAGAGACGGCCCAGACUCCUAAGGGAGGCAGCAGUGGGGAAUAUUGCACAAUGGGCGGAAGCCUGAUGCAGCAACGCCGCGUGCGGGAUGACGGCCUUCGGGUUGUAAACCGAUUUCGCCUGUGACGAAGCGUGAGUGACGGUAAUGGGUAAAGAAGCACCGGCUAACUACGUG